UGCGGGGUAGAGCAGCGGUAGCUCGUGAGUCUCAUAAUCUCAAGGUCAUCGGUUCGAUUCCGAUCUCCGCUA
rnacentral:tRNA from 1 species